rnacentral:rRNA from 1 species
UGAGCCUAGGUCGGAUUAGCUAGUUGGUGAGGUAAUGGCUCACCAAGGCGACGAUCCGUAACUGGUCUGAGAGGAUGAUCAAUCACACUGGAACUGAGACACGGUCCAGACUCCUACGGGAGGCAGCAGUGGGGAAUAUUGGACAAUGGGCGAAAGCCUGAUCCACCCAUGCCGCGUGUGUGAAGAAGGUCUUCGGAUUGUAAAGCACUUUAAGUUGGGAGGAAGGGCAUUAACCUAAUACGUUAGUGUUUUGACGUUACCGACAAAAUAAGCACCGGCUAACUCUGUGCCAGCAGCCGCGGUAAUACAGAGGGUGCAAGCGUUAAUCGGAAUUACUGGGCGUAAAGCGCGCGUAUGUGGUUUGUUAAGUUGGAUGUGAAAGCCCCGGGCUCAACCUGGGAACUGCAUUCAAAACUGACAAGCUAAAGUAUGGUAGAGGGUGGUGGAA